rnacentral:rRNA from 1 species
UACAGAGGUCCCAAGCGUUGUUCGGAUUCACUGGGCGUAAAGGGUGCGUAGGUGGCAGUGUAAGUCUGAUGUGAAAGCUUCGAGCUUAACUCGAAAAUGGCAUUGGAUACUAUAUUGCUGGAGGUUUGGAGGGGGGACUGGAAUUCUCGGUGUAGCAGUGAAAUGCGUAGAUAUCGAGAGGAACACCGGUGGCGAAGGCGAGUCCCUGGACAACACCUGACACUGAGGCACGAAGGCCAGGGGAGCAAACGGG